rnacentral:rRNA from 1 species
UGGGGAAUAUUGGACAAUGGGGGAAACCCUGAUCCAGCAAUGCCGCGUGUGUGAAGAAGGCCUGCGGGUUGUAAAGCACUUUCAAUGGGAAGGCGUAACCCAUAGAAGAAGCACCGGCUAACUCCGUGCCAGCAGCCGCGGUAAUACGGAGGGUGCGAGCGUUAAUCGGAAUUACUGGGCGUAAAGCGCACGUAGGCGGUUGCGUAAGUCGAUUGUGAAAGCCCCGGGCUUAACCUAGGAAUUGCAGUCGAUACUGCGCAGCUAGAGUGUGGUAGAGGGAAGUGGAAUUCCGGGUGUAGCGGUGAAAUGCGUAGAUAUCCGGAGGAACACCAGUGGCGAAGGCGGCUUCCUGGACCAACACUGACGCUGAGGUGCGAAAGCGUGGGGAGCAAACAGGAUUAGAUACCCCUGUAGU